CUUGAUUUUUAAAAUCCCAUGUUCUCACUUGUUUUUUUUAAAAUCCCACUUAUUCUGAGGGUCUAGCAGCUAGAGAAGUGCUUUCUAUUUUGUUAGACCCUGAGCUUGACACUUCACAUGUACUUUCUUUGUGAAGGACACAUUACCGUCAGCCCAUUUUACAGAUGCAAAAAGUGACUUAAUGAGGAGAGAAGCCCGAGUUUAGAAAUACAGAAACCACAGCAAGUUCUGCUGUUUCCUUUUCUGCAGGAGUACUGCAAGUUUAAGAACACUGAAGACAUCACCUUCCCUAGUGUUUACGUAGGGCUGAAGGAUAAACUCUCGGGCAUCCGCAAAGUUAUCACGGAAUCCACUGUACACUUAAUCCAGUUGCUGGAGAACUAUAAGAAAAAGCUCCAGGAGUUUUCCAAGGAAGAGGAGUAUGACAUCAGAACUCAAGUGUCUGCCGUUGUUCAGCGCAAAUAUUGGACU
rnacentral:lncRNA from 1 species